UCCCCUUAUGCUUUUAAAUGCUUUUCUUCUCAUUCUUGCAUUGAUUGAACGACGGUUUAUAUCUAUUGACGCUUCUCCAAGAAAAAGUUCUAUGAUAUCUCCCUUCAUUCUUCCCUUUGAGGUAUUGAACAAAAUAGCAGCUUGAGGCUAUGGAAAAGGAAUGACAUGUUUCUGAUAUCAGGACUGGGGAUAUUGUGGACAUUAAAUUGUUGUCUACAAAGGUGUUGUUAUGUCUAGACAAAAUGCCAGCGUCCACAACACCAUUUGGAUUCGAAGAAUUUUGUUGGCGAAAUUGUCUUCCCUCUACAAAUAUUUCCCUCCCAUCAUUUCUAAGGCGUAGUAAAUAAACUAUCCUCAUUGGAUUGAUCUGCUCAAGUUUUCUUACAAUUAUGCAUUCAAUUCACUUUGUAGGACUAUGCUCUGAGUAUGGUCUCAAAACCUAUUUUGCUGAGCUAGACUGGCAAGGAAUAUUUACCAAGAAGCUCCGUGGAGGUUAUCCAAAAAAACAAUUGCAUCUAUUAUUAGGAAAGAAGCUAACCAAGCUGUAUCUAUUAUUUAGGAACCAAGUUGCUCAUGUAGGUGUUUUUUUCCUUCAUUCA